rnacentral:rRNA from 1 species
CCGGUAAACGGCGGCCGUAACUAUAACGGUCCUAAGGUAGCGAAAUUCCUUGUCGGGUAAGUUCCGACCUGCACGAAUGGCGUAAUGAUGGCCAGGCUGUCUCCACCCGAGACUCAGUGAAAUUGAACUCGCUGUGAAGAUGCAGUGUACCCGCGGCAAGACGGAAAGACCCCGUGAACCUUUACUAUAGCUUGACACUGAACAUUGAGCCUUGAUGUGUAGGAUAGGUGGGAGGCUUUGAAGUGUGGACGCCAGUCUGCAUGGAGCCGACCUUGAAAUACCACCCUUUAAUGUUUGAUGUUCUAACGUUGGCCCCUAAUCGGGGUUGCGGACAGUGUCUGGUGGGUAGUUUGACUGGGGCGGUCUCCUCCUAAAGAGUAACGGAGGAGCACGAAGGUUGGCUAAUCCUGGUCGGACAUCAGGAGGUUAGUGCAAUGGCAUAAGCCAGCUUGACUGCGAGCGUGACGGCGCGAGCAGGUGCGAAAGCAGGUCAUAGUGAUCCGGUGGUUCUGAAUGGAAGGGCCAUCGCUCAACGGAUAAAAGGUACUCCGGGGAUAACAGGCUGAUACCGCCCAAGAGUUCAUAUCGACGGCGGUGUUUGGCACCUCGAUGUCGGCUCAUCACAUCCUGGGGCUGAAGUAGGUCCCAAGGGUAUGGCUGUUCGCCAUUUAAAGUGGUACGCGAGCUGGGUUUAGAACGUCGUGAGACAGUUCGGUCCCUA